rnacentral:rRNA from 1 species
AGUCGAGCGCAGGAAGCAAGCAGAUCCCCUUCGGGGGUGACGCUUGUGGAAUGAGCGGCGGACGGGUGAGUAACACGUGGGCAACCUGCCUGUAAGACUGGGAUAACCCCGGGAAACCGGGGCUAAUACCGGAUAAUACUUUUCUUUGCAUAAAGGAAAGUUGAAAGGCGGUUUCGGCUGCCACUUACAGAUGGGCCCGCGGCGCAUUAGCUAGUUGGUGAGGUAACGGCUCACCAAGGCGACGAUGCGUAGCCGACCUGAGAGGGUGAUCGGCCACACUGGGACUGAGACACGGCCCAGACUCCUACGGGAGGCAGCAGUAGGGAAUCUUCCGCAAUGGACGAAAGUCUGACGGAGCAACGCCGCGUGAGUGAUGAAGGUUUUCGGAUCGUAAAACUCUGUUGUUAGGGAAGAACAAGUCGGGUAGUAACUGACCCGGCCUUGACGGUACCUAACCAGAAAGCCCCGGCUAACUACGUGCCAGCAGCCGCGGUAAUACGUAGGGGGCAAGCGUUGUCCGGAAUUAUUGGGCGUAAAGCGCUCGCAGGCGGUCCUUUAAGUCUGAUGUGAAAUCUCGCGGCUCAACCGCGAACGGUCAUUGGAAACUGGAGGACUUGAGUACAGAAGAGGAGAGUGGAAUUCCACGUGUAGCGGUGAAAUGCGUAGAGAUGUGGAGGAACACCAGUGGCGAAGGCGACUCUCUGGUCUGUAACUGACGCUGAGGAGCGAAAGCGUGGGGAGCGAACAGGAUUAGAUACCCUGGUAGUCCACGCCGUAAACGAUGAGUGCUAGGUG